AUUGAACGCUGGCGGCAGGCCUAACACAUGCAAGUCGAACGAGUGGCGGACGGGUGAGUAAUGUCUGGGAAACUGCCUGAUGGAGGGGGCUAACUACUGGACACGGUAGCUAAUACCGCAUACCAUCAGAUGUGCCCAUAUGGGAUUAGCUAGUUGGUGGGGUAACGGCUCACCAAGGCGACGAUCCCUAGCUGGUCUGAGAGGAUGACCAGCAACACUGGAACUGAGAAACGGUCCAGACGCCUAAGGGAGGCAGCAGUGGGGAAUAUUGCACAAUGGGCGCAAGCCUGAUGCAGCCAUGACGCGUGUAUGAAGAAGGCCUUCGGGUUGUAAAGUACUUUCAGCGGGGAGGCGUUACUCGCAGAAGAAGCACCGGCUAACUCCGUGCCAGCAGCCGCGGUAAUAC
rnacentral:rRNA from 1 species